UACGGGGGGGCAAGCGUUGUUCGGAAUUACUGGGCGUAAAGGGUUCGUAGGUGGCUUGCUAAGUCAGACGUGAAAUCCCUCAGCUUAACUGGGGAACUGCGUCUGAGACUGGUGAGCUUGAGUGCAGGAGAGGAACGCGGGAAUUCCAGGUGUAGCGGUGAAAUGCGUAGAUAUCUGGAGGAACACCGGUGGCGAAGGCGGCGUUCUGGACUGCUACUGACACUGAGGAACGAAAGCCAGGGAGCAAAACGGG
rnacentral:rRNA from 1 species